CUAUAAUAGGUGAUAGACAUGUGCAAUUCGUUUCGGUCCGAAUGUGGAUUCGGACGAAUUUCGGGCAAUUUGGACCUUUCGAGUACUUCCGAAUGUCCGAAUAGAUGAAUUGCCGAAUUGUUGAAGUCCCGAAGUUCCAAAAUCACCGAAUUUCUGAAGUGUCGAAGUGCCGAAGUUCCGAAGCACAGUAUUGCCUAAGAACUAAUAUACUUACCCAGUGGAAGAAUGAAGAAUGUUACACUGUAUACAAUUCUAAAUAAAAAGUAUACAAACAUAGCCAGGAUUCAGCUGUAAGCAUUUGCAACAUUUACAACAAUCAAGUAAUAUACAUUCAUAUAAAAUGUAAGUUACUUAGCCAGUCAAUGUAAUGACAGGAAUGAAUAAG